CAGGGAUUGCCCUAGUAACGGCGAGUGAAGCGGCAACAGCUCAAAUUUGAAAUCUGGCUUCGGCCCGAGUUGUAAUUUGCAGAGGAAGCUUUAGGCGCGGCACCUUCUGAGUCCCCUGGAACGGGGCGCCAUAGAGGGUGAGAGCCCCGUAUAGUUGGAUGCCUAGCCUGUGUAAAGCUCCUUCGACGAGUCGAGUAGUUUGGGAAUGCUGCUCAAAAUGGGAGGUAAAUUUCUUCUAAAGCUAAAUACCGGCCAGAGACCGAUAGCGCACAAGUAGAGUGAUCGAAAGAUGAAAAGCACUUUGAAAAGAGGGUUAAAUAGCACGUGAAAUUGUUGAAAGGGAAGCGCUUGUGACCAGACUUGCGCCGGGCAGAUCAUCCGGUGUUCUCACCGGUGCACUCUGCCCGGCUCAGGCCAGCAUCGGUUCUCGCGGGGGGAUAAAGGCCCUGGGAACGUAGCUCCUCCGGGAGUGUUAUAGCCCGGGGCGUAAUGCCUUCGCGGGGACCGAGGUUCGCGCAUCUGCAAGGAUGCUGGCGUAAUGGUCAUCAGCGACCCGUCUUGAAACACGGACCAAGGAGUCAAGGUUUUGCGCGAGUGUUUGGGUGUAAAACCCGCACGCGUAAUGAAAGUGAACGUAGGUGAGAGCUUCGGCGCAUCAUCGACCGAUCCUGAUGUUUUCGGAUGGAUUUGAGUAGGAGCGUUAAGCCUUGGACCCGAAAGAUGGUGAACUAUGCUUGGAUAGGGUGAAGCCAGAGGAAACUCUGGUGGAGGCUCGCAGCGGUUCUGACGUGCAAAUCGAUCGUCAAAUCUGAGCAUGGGGGCGAAAGACUAAUCGAACCA
rnacentral:rRNA from 1 species